rnacentral:rRNA from 1 species
GACGAACGCUGGCGGCGUGCUUAACACAUGCAAGUCGAACGGGAUCCAAAGGCUUUUUGUUUUUGGUGAGAGUGGCGAACGGGUGAGUAACACGUGAGUAACCUGCCCCCUUCUUUUGGAUAACCGCAUGAAAGUGUGGCUAAUACAGGAUAUUCCAGGCUGGUCGCAUGAUUGGUUUGGGAAAUGGUUUGGUCUGGUGGGGGAUGGGCUCGCGGCCUAUCAGCUUGUUGGUGGGGUGAUGGCCUACCAAGGCGGUGACGGGUAGCCGGCCUGAGAGGGUGGGCGGUCACACUGGGACGGAGAUACGGCCCAGACUCCUACGGGAGGCAGCAGUGGGGGAUUUUGCACAAUGGGCGCAAGCCUGAUGCAGCGACGCCGCGUGAGGGAUGAAGGCCUUCGGGUUGUAAACCUCUUUCGCUGGGUUGAAAGGCCAUGCUUUGGGUGUGGUUGAUUUGAACUGGUAAAGAAGUACCGGCUAACUACGUG